AGCCUAAAAGUGCUCCAUGCUUCCUGUGCUUCUGCCCAUCAUUGGCAGGAGCCUGGAGGCUGGCUGCAGAAAGGCCAGAGUAGGAAAGGUAUUCAGGAAACUUAUUGAAAGCCAUUAGAAUGUUUUUAGAACCAGCCAAGCAGUCAUUAAAAUGUCUUAGGAGCUAUGGUCUGAGACGAGUAUUUAAUCACAGUGCAGCGUAGGGAAGGUUAGAGGAAGUGAUUCAGACUUCCCUCUACACAAAGUGGAUGGAAAAGUGACGUGAGGGUUGUGAGAAGCCAGGCUGCCAUUGCAAGUCAUAGAAUCGAGAACCAUAAAUACCUUGCCCCCCGUCAUGGGCCAGAAAUACCAGUGUCACCUGGUUAGUCCUGGUCUUCCGCAUACAUGAAAGCUUGAACGUUCCUGUACUUCACGACUUCCCUGAAUGGAGAGCAGUGUUACGCCUUACGUCUGCAGUGUUGUCAGGAAUUGGGACAUGAUCCUCGUGGUCAUAAGCAAGGACAACGUUGCUGUUUCUUACUGUGCACGGUCCAUCACAAACUUGAGGGUAUAACCAGAACUGAGGACGCUGUUUGCAAAACCAAUUCCAUUUGAAAGUGGUGGAGUUGCCUGUUGUCAGAGAGAUGAUGAUAGAGGCUCAGGAGGCCUCUGAAGCAUCACCCCGGGCUGGAGCUCACUGGGGAGCAGAACUGGUUAAGGAGACAGUAUCCGCAUCUGUCGGAGCAAAGAAACGGCCCAGACAAAGUUGCUCAGGAUGAAUGAAAUGAGGGGAGUGGCACACAUCCUAGGAAGAACACAGAAUGCAAAAUCCGAAUGGGAAACCCACUGUGGAGGAAACCAGAACCCAGAAAGUAGGGACAUCCCUCUCAGGUCCUUCAAGCUGUACUUCGUAUGUGUUGGAACGAAUUUCAGUGUCCUCAAAUACAGGAAAACAAAAUGAGUUACAAAGCUGGGUGGCAGAACUAAGGAAACAGGAUGCAUUUAUAGAAACAGCCAGGGAGGGACCUUCCUGGUGGUCCGGUGGUUAAGACUCUGCGCUUCCCAUGCAGGCGGUCCGGGUUUGGUCCGGGUUUGAUCCGCAGUCGAGGAAACUAGAUCACACAUGCCACAACUAAGACCUGG
ensembl:lncRNA